rnacentral:misc_RNA from 1 species
GCAAACUUGGUCAUUUAGAGGAAGUAAAAGUCGUAACAAGGUUUCCGUAGGUGAACCUGCGGAAGGAUCAUUAAAGAACAAAGGACCGUGAGAUCAGCCGUUGGUUGGCUUCUAUAUGAUUCAGACCGAUGAUCCCCUUGACGAAGGGAGGAGGUGCUGGUCUUAUUGCAUGCGAUGGGACCUAACAAAGGUUCACUGGGUAGAGACCCCAUUUCCCGUUAGCCUGCUGUUAUGGCAGAAACCGGCUCGGGACCGGUUGAAUCUCAUAGAGGGCUCUUUUGCUGAUCGAGCGGGUCCCUAUCCACCUUCAUUUCACCCCCUAUGUGAACCUUUGCGCAUGCUGGUACAGAGUCAUCUGGAAGGCUUGCGACUUCUAUAUACCCCUGUAAGAUAAGUUUCAGAAUGCUACCUUGCGUUUAACCGCAUCCAAUACAACUUUCAGCAACGGAUCUCUUGGCUCUCGCAUCGAUGAAGAACGCAGC